CCUACGGGUGGCAGCAGUGGGGAAUAUUGCACAAUGGGGGAAACCCUGAUGCAGCGACGCCGCGUGAAGGAAGAAGUAUUUCGGUAUGUAAAGCUCUAUCAGCAGGGAAGAAAAUGACGGUACCUGACUAAGAAGCCCCGGCUAACUACGUGCCUGCACCCGCGGUCAUACGUAGGGGGCAAGCGGUAGCCGGAUUUACUGGGUGUAAAGGGAGCGUAGGCGGCGAUGCAAGUCAGAAGUGAAAGCCCGGGGCUCAACCCCGGGACUGCUUUGGAAACUGUAGAGCUGGAUUGCAGGAGAGGUAAGUGGAAUUCCUAGUGGAGCGGUGAAAUGGGUAGAUAUUAGGAGGAACACCAGUGGCGAAGGCGGCUUACUGGACUGUAAAUGACGCUGAGGCUCGAAAGCGUGGGGAGCAAACAGGAUUAGAUACCCGAGUAGUC
rnacentral:rRNA from 1 species